GGAAACGAUGGGAGCUUGCUCCCAGGCGUCGAGUGGCGGACGGGUGAGUAAUACUUAGGAAUCUACCCAGUAGCGGGGGACAACUCGAGGAAACUCGAGCUAAUACCGCAUACGCCCUACGGGGGAAAGCAGGGGAUCUUCGGACCUUGCACUAUUGGAUGAGCCUAAGUCGGAUUAGCUUGUUGGUGAGGUAAAGGCUCACCAAGGCGACGAUCCGUAGCUGGUCUGAGAGGACGAUCAGCCACACUGGGACUGAGACACGGCCCAGACUCCUACGGGAGGCAGCAGUGGGGAAUAUUGGACAAUGGGGGCAACCCUGAUCCAGCAAUGCCGCGUGUGUGAAGAAGGCCUGCGGGUUGUAAAGCACUUUCAGUAGAGAAGAAAAGCCUACGGUUAAUACCCGUGAGUCUUGACGUUACCUACAGAAGAAGCUCCGGCUAACUCCGUGCCAGCAGCCGCGGUAAUACGGAGGGAGCGAGCGUUAAUCGGAAUUACUGGGCGUAAAGCGCGCGUAGGCGGCUUUGUAAGUCGGAUGUGAAAGCCCUGGGCUCAACCUGGGAAUGGCAUUCGAUACUGCAGAGCUAGAGUAUGGUAGAGGGAAGUGGAAUCUCCGGUGUAGCGGUGAAAUGCGUAGAUAUCGGAAGG
rnacentral:rRNA from 1 species